ACAGUGAAGCAUACACAUGUCUCCCACUAAGGAAGCACCGACCAAGAGAAGCAGCAGACACAAUGGAGUGUUUAAGUAUGCGGAAAACUUUAUGCCUGAGUGGAAGAGGAGCUUUGAAGGAAUCCGCUGAGGGACACCCAACCUCCCCCUGAACUGAGCCUGUACCUCCUCAUCAGAGGGAGAGAAAGCCAUGGAGUGUGUGUGUGUAGAGCGGUGGUGUGGAUAAGGCGAUAGGGAGAGAUAGAGAGGAGUAGAUGUUUAGUUGGAAGGGGAACUGAUGAAGAAAAGCCAGGAGUAAAGGCAGGAAAAA